UAUGGAGCCAGCACUUCAUAACAGGACCA
rnacentral:piRNA from 1 species